rnacentral:rRNA from 1 species
CAGGCUUAACACAUGCAAGUCGAGGGGCAGCGGGGGUAGCUAUACCCGCCGGCGACCGGCGCACGGGUGAGUAACGCGUAUGCAACUUACCUAUCAGAGGGGGAUAACCCGGCGAAAGUCGGACUAAUACCGCAUGAAGCAGGGAUCCCGCAUGGGAAUAUUUGCUAAAGAUUCAUCGCUGAUAGAUAGGCAUGCGUUCCAUUAGGCAGUUGGCGGGGUAACGGCCCACCAAACCGACGAUGGAUAGGGGUUCUGAGAGGAAGGUCCCCCACAUUGGUACUGAGACACGGACCAAACUCCUACGGGAGGCAGCAGUGAGGAAUAUUGGUCAAUGGCCGAGAGGCUGAACCAGCCAAGUCGCGUGAGGGAUGAAGGUUCUAUGGAUCGUAAACCUCUUUUAUAAGGGAAUAAAGUGCGGGACGUGUCCCGUUUUGUAUGUACCUUAUGAAUAAGGAUCGGCUAACUCCGUGCCAGCAGCCGCGGUAAUACGGAGGAUCCGAGCGUUAUCCGGAUUUAUUGGGUUUAAAGGGUGCGUAGGCGGCCUUUUAAGUCAGCGGUGAAAGUCUGUGGCUCAACCAUAGAAUUGCCGUUGAAACUGGGGGGCUUGAGUAUGUUUGAGGCAGGCGGAAUGCGUGGUGUAGCGGUGAAAUGCAUAGAUAUCACGCAGAACCCCGAUUGCGAAGGCAGCCUGCCAAGCCAUGACUGACGCUGAUGCACGAAAGCGUGGGGAUCAAACAGGAUUAGAUACCCUGGUAGUCCACGCAGUAAACGAUGAUCACUAGCUGUUUGCGAUACACUGUAAGCGGCACAGCGAAAGCGUUAAGUGAUCCACCUGGGGAGUACGCCGGCAACGGUGAAACUCAAAGGAAUUGACGGGGGCCCGCACAAGCGGAGGAACAUGUGGUUUAAUUCGAUGAUACGCGAGGAACCUUACCCGGGUUUGAACGCAUUCGGACCGAGGUGGAAACACCUUUUCUAGCAAUAGCCGUUUGCGAGGUGCUGCAUGGUUGUCGUCAGCUCGUGCCGUGAGGUGUCGGCUUAAGUGCCAUAACGAGCGCAACCCUUGCCACUAGUUACUAACAGGUAAAGCUGAGGACUCUGGUGGGACUGCCAGCGUAAGCUGCGAGGAAGGCGGGGAUGACGUCAAAUCAGCACGGCCCUUACAUCCGGGGCGACACACGUGUUACAAUGGCGUGGACAAAGGGAAGCCACCUGGCGACAGGGAGCGAAUCCCCAAACCACGUCUCAGUUCGGAUCGGAGUCUGCAACCCGACUCCGUGAAGCUGGAUUCGCUAGUAAUCGCGCAUCAGCCAUGGCGCGGUGAAUACGUUCCCGGGCCUUGUACACACCGCCCGUCAAGCCAUGGGAGCCGGGGGUACCUGAAGUCCGUAGGC